GUUGUAUUUUGCCGGGUAAGGUAAAAAGAACUGUACACCGGAGGGAGCUUAUAAGACAUCAACGACGGAAUGUUCAGUCCUCAGGUGUCACACCAGGGCAUAUGCGAUCACUUCAGAUCUUGCUAUGAGACAUUAGACACGGUGGAAGGCUACAAAGACAGCUCUGACAACCACUGGAAGAGCUUUGCCAUCCCCUCCCGGGAACUGAUGGGAACAAAUUCCCACAUUGAAAGUUCUGCUGUAAAGCCAG
rnacentral:lncRNA from 1 species